AAGACCUUGCGCUUUUGGAGCGGCCGAUGCCUGAUUAGCUAGUUGGUAAGGUAAAAGCCUACCAAGGCUUCGAUCAGUAGCUGGUCUGAGAGGACGACCAGCCACACUGGGACUGAGACACGGCCCAGACUCCUACGGGAGGCAGCAGUGGGGAAUUUUGGACAAUGGGGGCAACCCUGAUCCAGCCAUGCCGCGUGAGUGAAGAAGGCCUUCGGGUUGUAAAGCUCUUUCAGCCGGAAMGAAACGGUUACGGAUAACACCCGUGACUACUGACGGUACCGGAAGAAGAAGCACCGGCUAACUACGUGCCAGCAGCCGCGGUAAUACGUAGGGUGCGAGCGUUAAUCGGAAUUACUGGGCGUAAAGGGUGCGCAGGUGGUUUUGUAAGUCAGAUGUGAAAUCCCCGGGCUCAACCUGGGAACU
rnacentral:rRNA from 1 species